rnacentral:rRNA from 1 species
AAUGAACGUUGGCGGCGUGGAUUAGGCAUGCAAGUCGAACGGGCCCGGUCCUCGGAUCGGGCCAGUGGCGGAAGGGUGAGUAAGGCGACGGUAACCAACCCCAUGGUCGGGUAUAGCCGCGGGAAACUGCGGGUAAUCCCCAGCGACGUGGGGGGCCGGCAUCGGCCCCGCACCAAAGCUCAGGCGCCGUGGGACGGGCCGUCGUGGUAUUAGCUAGUUGGCGGGGUAACGGCCCACCAAGGCUGUGGUGCCUACCGGGCGCGCGAGCGUGGCCCGGCACACUGGGACUGAGACACUGCCCAGACUCCUACGGGAGGCUGCAGUCGAGAAUCUUCGGCAAUGGGCGCAAGCCUGACCGAGCGACGCCGCGUGGAGGAUGAAGGCCUUCGGGUUGUAAACUCCUGUCGAGGGGGAGGAAGGGGAGACCUUGACCGAUCCCUGGAGGAAGCACGGGCUAAGUCCGUGCCAGCAGCCGCGGUAAGACGAACCGUGCGAACGUU